rnacentral:misc_RNA from 1 species
GAAAUGCGAUAAGUAAUGUGAAUUGCAGAAUUCAGUGAAUGAUCGAAUCUUUGAACGCACAUUGCGCCCGCCAGUAUUCUGGCGGGCAUGCCUGUUCGAGCGUCAUUUCAACCAUCAAGCUUUAGGCUUGUGUUGGAGCCCUGCGGCUGUCAGCAGGCCCCUAAAUACAGUGGCGGGCUCGCUAUCACACCGAGUGCAGUCGUUUUCUUUCUCGCUCAGGGCGCGUAUGGGGUGCUAGCCGUGAAACCCCUUGUUCACAAGCUUGACCCCGGAUCAGGUAGGAAUACCCGCUGAACUCAA